CAAUAGCGUAUAUUAAAGUUGUUGCGGUUAAAAAGCUCGUAGUUGGAUUUCUGCUGAGAACGACCGGUCCGCCCUCUGGGUGUGUAUCUGGCUCUUUCUUGGCAUCUUCUUGGUGAACGUUGCUGCACUUGACUGUGUGGAGCGCUACCCAGGACUUUUACUUUGAGGAAAUUAGAGUGUUUCAAGCAGGCAUACGCCUUGAAUACAUUAGCAUGGAAUAAUAAGAUAGGACCUCGGUUCUAUUUUGUUGGUUUCUAGAGCUGAGGUAAUAAUUAAUAGGGAUAGUUGGGGGCAUUCGUAUUUAACUGUCAGAGGUGAAAUUCUUGGAUUUGUUGAAGACGGACUACUGCGAAAGCAUCUGCCAUGGAUGUUCUCAUUGA
rnacentral:rRNA from 1 species